CGGGACACGUGGUAUCCUGUCUGAAUAUGGGGGGACCAUCCUCCAAGGCUAAAUACUCCUGACUGACCGAUAGUGAACCAGUACCGUGAGGGAAAGGCGAAAAGAACCCCGGCGAGGGGAGUGAAAAAGAACCUGAAACCGUGUACGUACAAGCAGUGGGAGCACGCUUAGGCGUGUGACUGCGUACCUUUUGUAUAAUGGGUCAGCGACUUAUAUUCUGUAGCAAGGUUAACCGAAUAGGGGAGCCGAAGGGAAACCGAGUCUUAACUGGGCGUUAAGUUGCAGGGUAUAGACCCGAAACCCGGUGAUCUAGCCAUGGGCAGGUUGAAGGUUGGGUAACACUAACUGGAGGACCGAACCGACUAAUGUUGAAAAAUUAGCGGAUGACUUGUGGCUGGGGGUGAAAGGCCAAUCAAACCGGGAGAUAGCUGGUUCUCCCCGAAAGCUAUUUAGGUAGCGCCUCGUGAAUUCAUCUCCGGGGGUAGAGCACUGUUUCGGCAAGGGGGUCAUCCCGACUUACCAACCCGAUGCAAACUGCGAAUACCGGAGAAUGUUAUCACGGGAGACACACGGCGGGUGCUAACGUCCGUCGUGAAGAGGGAAACAACCCAGACCGCCAGCUAAGGUCCCAAAGUCAUGGUUAAGUGGGAAACGAUGUGGGAAGGCCCAGACAGCCAGGAUGUUGGCUUAGAAGCAGCCAUCAUUUAAAGAAAGCGUAAUAGCUCACUGGUCGAGUCGGCCUGCGCGGAAGAUGUAACGGGGCUAAACCAUGCACCGAAGCUGCGGCAGCGACGCUGAUGCGUUGUUGGGUAGGGGAGCGUUCUGUAAGCCUGUGAAGGUGUGCUGUGAGGCAUGCUGGAGGUAUCAGAAGUGCGAAUGCUGACAUAAGUAACGAUAAAGCGGGUGAAAAGCCCGCUCGCCGGAAGACCAAGGGUUCCUGUCCAACGUUAAUCGGGGCAGGGUGAGUCGACCCCUAAGGCGAGGCCGAAAGGCGUAGUCGAUGGGAAACAGGUUAAUAUUCCUGUACUUGGUGUUACUGCGAAGGGGGGACGGAGAAGGCUAUGUUGGCCGGGCGACGGUUGUCCCGGUUUAAGCGUGUAGGCUGGUUUUCCAGGCAAAUCCGGAAAAUCAAGGCUGAGGCGUGAUGACGAGGCACUACGGUGCUGAAGCAACAAAUGCCCUGCUUCCAGGAAAAGCCUCUAAGCAUCAGGUAACAUCAAAUCGUACCCCAAACCGACACAGGUGGUCAGGUAGAGAAUACCAAGGCGCUUGAGAGAACUCGGGUGAAGGAACUAGGCAAAAUGGUGCCGUAACUUCGGGAG
rnacentral:rRNA from 1 species